UACGUAGGGUGCAAGCGUUAAUCGGAAUUACUGGGCGUAAAGCGUGCGCAGGCGGUUUUGUAAGUCUGUCGUGAAAGCCCCGGGCUCAACCUGGGAAUUGCGAUGGAGACUGCAAGGCUUGAAUCUGGCAGAGGGGGGUAGAAUUCCACGUGUAGCAGUGAAAUGCGUAGAGAUGUGGAGGAACACCGAUGGCGAAGGCAGCCCCCUGGGUCAAGAUUGACGCUCAUGCACGAAAGCGUGGGGAGGAAACAGG
rnacentral:rRNA from 1 species